ensembl:lncRNA
AUGGUUAAGGCUGAAGAGUGGCACCUUUUUCUAGAUAAGAAGAAUUACACUCAUACAUUAAUUAUACAUUGUAUGUUUGAUGUAUAAAAAAAAAAAGCAGCAAGUUCAAUCGACUUUUGAGUAGCACUUUGCCUUUAAUUUUGACAUUUUUAGUUGUAUGACAUACAUUUUCUUUACACGGACACUCAAACGAGGUGUGUUGGCAAUCUAUUCACAUUUUGAUUUCUCACAGUGGUAAACUUUUUGUGCCCUUAAAAAGACAGAAAGUAAAAAAAAAAGAAAACCCAGAAUAAGCAUGGAAGUCAUCCGACCUCAUGUGUAAACUAUCAGAGAGUAGGAGGGAACUCCAAUUAACUUGGGGGGGGUUUAGGGCAAACGUGCACAGUUUGCCAACACACCAUCAUCACACACAUUAGCAUUGAUAAGCCACACAGAACAUGAGCUGGAAUAGAUGUAUUCCUAUUCCAGAUGUCAGAUAUCCACGGGUGUAAAAACUAAUCGGCAGCAUUUCAGCCCUCACUCCUGUCCUUCAGUGCUUCUAUUCCCGCGCACGCGUGGUGACGGUGCUGCCAUGGUGACACAUCAACAUGAAACGACUUCAUUGGUUCAGUGAAACAAUUCAGAGCCUUUUGAAUAAAAUGUCAAAUGUAGCACGUACAUCUUUAGGAAAGAAAAAGCACACUGAACACGUAUUAAAACAUGAUUUCUGUGUUUUCCUAGAGGUGUGUAUUCAUAAGUAACCCUUUUUGAUCCCUAGUUUAUUUUCAAACGGCCUCUCUAAAGACGGUCCUCAGUGCACAGCCUUUAAACGCUGCUACCACACAGUAUUUGGAAUAAAAGGCCCAUCACUCUUUUUUUUAUUCAGACUCCGCCGGCCACUAAUCCUCAAAGCUUUGGGAGCAAAUAGUUAUUUGAACCUUCUCCAGACAUACGGAAAGUAUAGGCUGGGAGGUGUGUGUUAUUUGAACCUUCUCCAGACGUACUGAAAGUAUAGUCUGGGAGGU